rnacentral:rRNA from 1 species
UACGUAGGGGGCAAGCGUUGUCCGGAAUUAUUGGGCAUAAAGAGCGUGUAGGCGGUCCGGUAAGUCAGCUGUGAAAGUCAAGGGCUCAACCCUUGAAAGCCGGUUGAUACUGUCGGGCUAGAGUCCGGAAGAGGCGAGUGGAAUUCCCGGUGUAGCGGUGAAAUGCGCAGAUAUCAGGAGGAACACCGGUGGCGAAGGCGGUUCUCUGGGCAUUACCUGACGCUGAGGAGCGAAAGUGUGGGGGGCGAACAGG